rnacentral:ncRNA from 1 species
UUUCCCUCAGGAUAGCUGGAGUACAAAAUGAAGCUGUUAUAUUCGGUGAAGUGCUUGAAUAGAAAAAUUGUAGAACGAAACGUCUUCAACCUAUUCUCUAAUUUUCAAUGAGUAUGACGUCUUGCUUGCUUGAGUGAAGCAUGGGCAAUGAGUGUGUGCUUCA